GUUGUCGAAUGACGUACCAUCGACGAGCGUAACUGGCCCCAGAAAACAGCUGAAAAGGAAUCAGAAAACACAACCUGCUAAAGCACCACGCAAGAAGAAGAGCAAGUCUUCCAAGUCCGAGAGUGUGUCUGCGAGAUCCAUUGAAACUAAUCAAGCUACAAUGUACAUGUAACGUACAACCACCAUUUGAUUAGAUGCCUGUGAACAGCAAGACCAACAUCUGUAUCCUUUACAUUAGUGUUUGUUUCCAUUUUAUUAUGUAAUUCUUAUGUCUAAUCAUUAAGAUUCAUAGGCAAGUACAACAUGUAUGUGUACACAAUGAGUGCCUGCAUAUUGUGAAGAUAAAGGACCAUAAGACCAUUACUUAUGAUACAUGGUAAUGAUGGUAUACUUUGUAAAACUAUUUGAAAAUAGUAGCAUGUAAGUCUGUCAUUUUCUUGUUUAUAUAUAUCUCAAUGACAUGACAUGUCAUUGAUUUUGUAGUAAGUGUUUCUAGAUUAUGAUGAUUGUAUUAAGAUUUUGACAGUUCAAUUGAGAUUGAGAAAAUUAGGUAACAUGUCAACUGUACUAUAAAGCAUGCAUGCAUUGUUGAAAAAUCUGUUUUAUGAUUUAUUUUAUUUUGUUAUCUUUGUAAAUAACGAGAAAAAAAUAUUAUUUGUCAUGAUUUUCUUGAGGUUUGAAAAUGUUAUUACAUUAUUAAGAGCACUUUGUAAUAUUAAAUUGUAAUAAAAGAGACAGAAAACAACACUCUCAUGUCCAGAAUACUGCUUUAUUUGGUUACUAGUGAGGGAGAGAGCUUGUGAUCGCCUGGCAUAUCCGCAUCGGCUCAGUAAUAGUCCUGAAACUCACCUGAAUACUUUAUUUGAA